AGUUAUCUAAACUAAGAAUAAGAAUCAAAAACAACCUCAAAAUUAUAGGGCAAUUCUAACCGUUUAAAAGAAUUUCUUCCAUAGAAUGACAGCAUCACGAUUUGGAAUAAUAAUCUUCUUAAUGGUAGAUUUGGCCUUCAAAACAAAUGCAUAUCUAAAGAAGAUUGUAUGCCUGUGUGCAGUUGGACUGAAGAAAGCUAUCCAAUGGAAAACUCCCAAACGGGUGCUGCUACAACAGGUCUUAUUAUCAAUGGGAUGCCUGAAAAAGUCAGGGAAACCAAGGAGGUACUGACGUAUGGCGUGGAUGGUUUCAUCAUCGCUAUGGGGGGAUUCAUCGGGCUCUUCAUAGGAACUACUAUACUAGAUUUCG